rnacentral:rRNA from 1 species
UACGUGAAAUUGUUCAGAGGUAAACGGAUGGGCCCUUGAAAUCCUGUGGCGGGAGGACUCAGUCCGGUGUUGACGAUUUCGAAGCGCGGACCAGAAAGUGCGGGAUCCGCGACUGGACCCGCCGCGUUUUGAUUUCCAGGCACCGGACGCAUUUGUCUCCCGUUCGAAAGGACGCCGCAACCGGUUGGGCGACGGACUGAGGGGCGUGCGGGGGAGUUCGCCGGUUCGGCUCUGCCGGGCCGGUCGUUGACCCCGCCGUCCGCGUCUCGACGCCCGACCGUGGUCAUAACAAGGCCCUUGAUUGGGUCUUCACCGCCUCCUCCCUCCACCGAGGGAUGUCGGGCUCCGGCGGCAGGAUCUUCCCGCGUGGCCGGGCGCACGGACCGACUCCGUGGCCCAGGACGUCGCGGGAGCCCGUUGGCCGCCGUCGAGACCCGUAGGGAGAGCCGGCGGUUCGCGGCGAGUAGAUCGGUCACCCAUCCGACCCGUCUUGAAACACGGACCAAGGAGUCUAACAUGUGCGCGAGUCAGUGGGACUCGAACAAGCCCAGAGGCGCAAUGAAAGCGAAGGGCGGCACGAGCCGCACGAGUCGAGAUCCCCCACCACUAUUGGUGGGGGCGCACCGACGACCCGCCCCGUCCGGCUUGCCGGUAAGGCGGAGUCUGAGCGUACACGUUGGGACAAAGAAAGAUGGUGAACUAUGCCCGGGCAGGACGAAGCC